rnacentral:rRNA from 1 species
GAUGAACGCUGACCGAAUGCUUAACACAUGCAAGUCUUUGGCGAAGCUGUGCUUGCACAGCCUAGCCAAGGCGGACGGGUGAGUAACGCGUAAGGAACUUGCCCUGCAGUCAGGGAUAACAGACGGAAACGACUGAUAAGACCUGGUAAAGUCAGGCGGACUCAUGUCCAGCCUGAUGAAAAGAGAUGCUGCAGGAGAGCCUUGCGUCCUAUUAGCUUGUUGGUGGGGUAACGGCCCACCAAGGCGAUGAUAGGUAGCCGGCCUGAGAGGGUGGACGGCCACAAGGGGACUGAGAUACGGCCCGUACUCCUACGGGAGGCAGCAGUGGGGAAUAUUGGACAAUGGGGGCAACCCUGAUCCAGCAAUGCUGUGUGCACGAUGAAGGUUUUCGGAUUGUAAAGUGCUUUCAGCAGGGAAGAAAAAAUGACGGUACCUGCAGAAGAAGCGACGGCUAAAUACGUG